rnacentral:rRNA from 1 species
GACGAACGCUGGCGGCGUGCUUAACACAUGCAAGUCGAACGGAAAGGCCCUGCUUUUGUGGGGUGCUCGAGUGGCGAACGGGUGAGUAACACGUGAGUAACCUGCCCUUGACUUUGGGAUAACUUCAGGAAACUGGGGCUAAUACCGGAUAGGAGCUCCUGCUGCAUGGUGGGGGUUGGAAAGUUUCGGCGGUUGGGGAUGGACUCGCGGCUUAUCAGCUUGUUGGUGGGGUAGUGGCUUACCAAGGCUUUGACGGGUAGCCGGCCUGAGAGGGGGACCGGCCACAUGGGGCCUGAGAGAGGGACCAGACGCCAACGGGAGGCAGCGGGGGGGAAUAUUGCACAAUGGGCGGAAGCCUGAGGCAACAACGCCGCGUGCGGGAUGCCGGCCUUCUGGUUGUAAACCGCUGUCGCCGUUAACGAGGAGUGAGUGACGGUAAUGGGUAAAGAAGCACCGGCUAACUACGUG